UUAAUGAACCAUAUCCUAUUAUAAAUCGGCAACUAAUCACACUUGGGAUAGAGUAGUACUGGGAUGGGUGACCUCUUGGGAAGUUCUAUUGUUUAACAUG
rnacentral:rRNA from 1 species